UCGAUUUGGAGUUUGUUGCCUAGAGUGAUGGGCUCCGAAGCUAACGCGAUAAAUCGACCGCCUGGGGAGUACGGCCGCAAGGUUAAAACUCAAAUGAAUUGACGGGGGCCCGCACAAGCGGUGGAGCAUGUGGUUUAAUUCGAUGCAACGCGAAGAACCUUACCUGGUCUUGACAUCCACAGAAUCUUGCAGAGAUGUGAGAGUGCCUUCGGGAACUGUGAGACAGGUGCUGCAUGGCUGUCGUCAGCUCGUGUUGUGAAAUGUUGGGUUAAGUCCCGCAACGAGCGCAACCCUUAUCCUUUGUUGCCAUCGGUUCGGCCGGGAACUCAAAGGAGACUGCCGUUGAUAAAGCGGAGGAAGGUGGGGACGACGUCAAGUCAUCAUGGCCCUUACGACCAGGGCUACACACGUGCUACAAUGGCGUAUACAAAGGGAGGCGACCUCGCGAGAGCAAGCGGACCUCAUAAAGUGCGUCUAAGUCCGGAUUGGAGUCUGCAACUCGACUCCAUGAAGUCGGAAUCGCUAGUAAUCGUGAAUCAGAAUGUCACGGUGAAUACGUUCCCGGGCCU
rnacentral:rRNA from 1 species